GCCAAAAGCUUCACCCUUGCAGAAUUUUUUUCCAAAUUUUCCCGAAAGCACACUCAGGCCUCAGCUCACACUUAUUUUUUGUUUCCCUCCAAAGACACUCAUCACCUCCAAAGCGCGAAGAAAACCCUUUCAGAGAGCUGACCAUCGCAAAGAUCGAAAACCUUCUCACUACCGCCAUUGCCCGUCGUCGCCCCCCACUCACCACUCACCACAUCGCUGCGCACUGACCGUCGCUCCUCUUCACCCUCCUACACUGAUCAUCGCUGCACCGCCCUCACUAUCGUCGAUCUCUGCGCUUCUCAUCGUUGUCUCUGUGCUCACGUCGUUGAUUAGAAGGGAGCUCGAAGAGUUAGGUGUGACACUUCCAAAGGAUGCAUUCGAACUGAUUUUUGUUUUCCUCCAAGAGUGAUUCUUGGCAAAUAGACAUUCUGCACAUAGGAAGCUGCAAUACAUAUCAAAGUUAGAGAGAAGUGUAACUUCAUUUCAGGAUAAUAUUGAGGAUGAUAAUGAAGAUUAAACUGAUUAUUAUUGUGGUUUAUUGGCUAACACUUUUAAUGUCAAGACGAACACCAAAAACACUUUGAAGAUCAAGAUGAACAUCAAGAACAAAUUUUAAAAAUUUUAAGAAAAUAAGAACACAAAGAACACCAAACAUAAAAAUUUUUAUACUUGGAACACUAAUAAUUCGAAAAUGUAUAAGAUAAAAAGCAACAAAAGACACGAAACUCAAAAAUUUUUAGAAAACCAGACACAAUUUUUCGAAAAUUAAAAAGGAAAAACACAAAGAGGACACCACACUUAAAACAUGAAGCUAAACUCAAACAAAAGACUCUAAACCAACAAAAAUAAACUAUUCCUAAUCUAAGCAAUAAGAUAAACAUUCUGUUGUCCAAACUCGAACAAUUUCCAGCAACGGCGCCAAAAAUUUGGUGUAUAGAAUUGUGAUUCACACUUCUCACAACUCCGGUGCCACUAACCAGCAAGUGCACUGGGUCGUCCAAGUAAUCCUUUACGUGAGUUAUGGUCGAUCCCAUGGAGAUUGUCGAAUUGAAGCAAUCUAUGGUUAUCUUGUAAACCUUAGUCAGGAGAUUAAGAAAAAGAGUUUUAUUUGUAAAAAGUAAAAGAACAUGAAAUGAAUAAUACUUGUUAUGCAGUGAUAGAGAACAUGUUGAGGUUUUGGAGAUGCUCUGUCUUUUGAAUCUCUGCUUUCCUUCUGUUGUCUUCUUCACAUACGGAAGGCUCUUUCCAUGGCAAGCUGUAUGUUGGUGGAUCACCGUUGUCAAUAGCUAUCAUCCGUCCUUUCAGUGAAAAUGGUCCAACUAUAGUUCCGUAGGGCUAAUCAUCUGUCAGUUCUCACUCGUGCUGGAAUAGGAUCCAUUGAUUCUUUUCCACACUGUCACUGCGCCCAACAUUUGUGAGUUUGAAACUCGUCACAGUCACCCCUUCCCAGAUCCUACUCGGAAUACCACUAACAAGGUUUAGACUUUUCGGAUAUUAAGAGUGCUACCAAUUGAUUCUAGUUUAUACCACGAAGACUCUAGUUUCACGGAUUUGAUCACUCUGUUGUCAGGAGAGGCAAUCAAACUCGUGAACUAGGAACGCAAGAGAUACACACUCAAUCUAAGGUAGAACGGAAGUGGUUGUCAGGCACGCAUUCAUAAGUUAGGAAUGGUAAUGAGUGUCACGGAUCAUCACAUUCAUCAUGUUGAAGUGCGAAUGAAUAUCUUAGAAUAGAAACAAGCGUGAUUGAAUAGAAAAUGGAAAUAAUUGCAUUAAUCCAUCGAGACACAGCAGAGCUCUUCACCUCUAACCAUGGGGUUUAGAGACUCAUGCCGUAGAAGAUACAAAUUCAGAUGUAAAAUAUCGUGAGGUACAAAAUGAAUCUCUAAAAGUAGUUUUUAUACUAAACUAGUAACUUAGGUUUACAGAAAAAUGGGUAAACUAAGAUAGAUAGUGCAGAAAUUCACUUCCGGGGCCCACUUGGUGUGUGUUUGGGCUGAGCAUUGAAGCUUUCACGUGCAUAGGCUAUUUCUGGAUUUAAACGCCAGCUUUGGUGUCAGUUUGGGCGUUUAACUCCAACUUUUAUUCCAGUUCUGGUGUUUACGCCAGAAAAGGGUAGAAAAUUGGCGUUGAAAUGCCAGUUUGCGUUAUCAAUACUCGGGCAAAGUAUGAACUAUUAUAUAUUGCUGGAAAGCCCAAGAUGUCUACUUUCCAACGCAAUUAAGAGCGCGCCAAUUGGGCUUCUGUAACUUCAGAAAAUUUAUUUCGAGUGCAGGGAGGUCAGAAUCCAACAGCAUCUGCAGUCCUUUUUCAGUCUCUGAAUCAGAUUUUUGCUCAGAUCGCUCAAUUUCAGCCAGAAAAUACCUGAAAUCACAGAAAAACACACAAACUCAUAGUAAAGCCCAGAGAUGUGAUUUUUGCAUAAAAACUAAUAAAAAAAACUAAAAACUAACUAAAUCAUACUAAAAUCUAUGUAAAAACAAUGCAAAAAAGUGUAAAAAUUAUCCACUCAUCACGUAGCCUUUGGUGUAGAAAAGUGUAGCCUUUGAGAAUAGGCAACGGCCGAAUAGGAAUCACCGCAGAAAGCGUAGCCGUAGCCUAAGACAUAUUUUUUUUUACUUUUGGCUACACUUUUUAAGUGUACCUGAAUGAGUGUUUUUCUUGUAGUGGGGUCCUUUCUGUCCUCGCCACAACACAAAAUCGAUGGCGUUUUGAGGGUUCCAGAAUUUAGGCCUCCUAGGAAGAACUAGAAAUCUAGUCCCACUCUUGGAUUUAGGCCUCCUAGGAAGAAUUAGAAGUGUAGUCCUAGGUUUAUAUCCCAAGUAGAUGAUUACUUUUUGAUAAACUAGUUUACAUACAGCCACAAUAAACAGUUUUUUGCUUUUUGUUUUGAUAGCCUAUGUGAAUUAAGGACCUAUAAUAUUCUAUUUAUCUUUGUGUUGUUGA